GACGAACGCUGGCGGCGUGCUUAACACAUGCAAGUCGAACGGAAAGGCCUUUUCGGCGGUACUCGAGUGGCGAACGGGUGAGUAACACGUGGGUGAUCUGCCCUGCACUCUGGGAUAAGCCUGGGAAACUGGGUCUAAUACCGGAUAGGACCGCACUUUAGUGUGUGUGGUGGAAAGUUUUUUCGGUGUAGGAUGAGCCCGCGGCCUAUCAGCUUGUUGGUGGGGUAAUGGCCUACCAAGGCGGCGACGGGUAGCCGGACUGAGAGGUUGGUCGGCCACAUUGGGACUGAGAUACGGCCCAGACUCCUACGGGAGGCAGCAGUGGGGAAUAUUGCACAAUGGGCGCAAGUCUGAUGCAGCGACGCCGCGUGGGGGAUGACGGCCUUCGGGUUGUAAACUCCUUUCGCCAGGGACGAAGCGUUUUGUGACGGUACCUGGAGAAGAAGCACCGGCUAACUACGUG
rnacentral:rRNA from 1 species